rnacentral:rRNA from 1 species
UACGGAGGGUGCAAGCGUUAUCCGGAUUCACUGGGUUUAAAGGGUGCGUAGGUGGGUUGGUAAGUCAGUGGUGAAAUCUCCGAGCUUAACUUGGAAACUGCCAUUGAUACUAUCAGUCUUGAAUACCGUGGAGGUCAGCGGAAUAUGUCAUGUAGCGGUGAAAUGCUUAGAUAUGACAUAGAACACCAAUUGCGAAGGCAGCUGGCUACACAAAUAUUGACACUGAGGCACGAAAGCGUGGGGAUCAAACAGG